rnacentral:rRNA from 1 species
GAUGAACGCUGGCGGCGUGCCUAAUACAUGCAAGUCGAGCGAACAGACGAGGAGCUUGCUCCUCUGACGUUAGCGGCGGACGGGUGAGUAACACGUGGAUAACCUACCUAUAAGACUGGGAUAACUUCGGGAAACCGGAGCUAAUACCGGAUAAUAUAUUGAACCGCAUGGUUCAACAGUGAAAGACGGUUUUGCUGUCACUUAUAGAUGGAUCCGCGCCGCAUUAGCUAGUUGGUAAGGUAACGGCUUACCAAGGCAACGAUGCGUAGCCGACCUGAGAGGGUGAUCGGCCACACUGGAACUGAGACACGGUCCAGACUCCUACGGGAGGCAGCAGUAGGGAAUCUUCCGCAAAGGGCGAAAGCCUGACGGAGCAACGCCGCGUGAGUGAUGAAGGUCUUCGGAUCGUAAAACUCUGUUAUUAGGGAAGAACAAAUGUGUAAGUAACUAUGCACGUCUUGACGGUACCUAAUCAGAAAGCCACGGCUAACUACGUG